rnacentral:rRNA from 1 species
GACGAACCGAGCGAACGUUGUUCGGAAUCACUGGGCUUAAAGGGCGCGUAGGCGGGCUGCCGCGUCCGGGGUGAAAUCCCACGGCUCAACCGUGGAACGGCCUCGGAUACGGGCGGCCUCGAGGGGGGUAGGGGCAUCUGGAACUGUGAGUGGAGCGGUGAAAUGCGUUGAUAUUCACAGGAACUCCGGUGGCGAAGGCGAGGUGCUGGACCCCAUCUGACGCUGAGGCGCGAAAGCCAGGGGAGCAAACGGG